CCCUUGGGAGAUCAAUCCCCUGUCCUCCUGUUCUUUGCUCCAUGAGAAAGAUCCACCUACGACCUCAGGUCCUCAGACCGACCAGCCCAAGGAACAUCUCACCAAUUUUAAAUCAGAGGGUUUAUCAAUUGUGUUGAUCUUUUCAAAAAGCAAACUAUCGGAUAUUGGGGGAAGAUGGCAGAUAGGAAACAGGGCUAACGUGCAGCUCCCACAUGAAUGGUCACAACAGUGUGUGCAGACUCACACUGUGAACUUUUCUCCAAGGAUCACUGCAGGAACAUACCAGGAAAACUGAAAGAAUUCACACUUUGAAAGAAGCAGCAUGCCACUGCAAAUUCCAUGAAACAGCAGUGGAGACAACUUGCAACAUCAGCAACACAUUUGGCCCUGGAACUGCUAAUGAAUGUACAGUGCAGUGAUGGUUCAAAAAGUUUUGCAAAGGAGACAAGAGCCUUGAAGAUGAGGAGCAUGGUGGUGGCGGGCCAUCAGAAGUUGACAGUGACCAAUUGAGAGCAAUCAUCGAAGCUGAUCCUCUUACAACUACACAAGAAGUUGCAGAAGAACUCAAUGCCUACCAUUCUAUGGUCACUUGGCAUUUGACACAAAUUGUAAAGGUGAAAAAGCUGAAUAAAUGGGUGCCUCAUGAGUGAAAAUCAAAAAAAUCAUCAUUUUGAAGUGUCAUCUCCUCUUACUCUUUGCAACAACAAUUUGCAAGAACCAUUUCUUGAUCAGAUUGUGACAUGUGACAAAAAUUGGAUUUUAUACAAGUGGCAAUGGCCAGCUCAGCAGUUGGACCGAGAAGAAACUCCAAAACACUUCCCAAAGCCAACCUUGCACCAAAAAAGGUUAUCGUCAUUGUUUGGUGGUCUGCUGCCAAUCUUAUCCACUACAGCUUUCUGAAUCCCGGCAAAACCAUUAUAUCUGAAAAUUAUGCUCAGGAAGUCUAUGAAAUGCACUGAAAACUGCAAUGCCUGGAGCUGGCAUUGGUCAACAGAAAGGGCCCAAUUCUUCUCAAAACAGUGCCUAACCACACGUCACACAACCAACACUUCAAAAAUUGAACAAAUUGUACUAUGAAGUUUUGUCUAAUCUGCAAUAUUCACUUGACCUCUCACCAACUGACUACCACUUCUUUAAGCAUCUCAACAGCUUUUUGCAGGGAAAACACUUCCACAACCAGCUGGAUGUAGAAAAUGCUUUCCAAGCAUUCACUGAAUCUCAAGGCACAGAUUUUUAUGCUACAGGAAUAAACAAACAUUUCUUGUUGGCAAAAAUGUGUUGAUUGUAAUGGUUCCUGUUUUGAUUAAUAAAGAGGUGGUUUGAGCCUA